AACGAACGCUGGCGGCAUGCCUAACACAUGCAAGUCGAACGAGACCUUCGGGUCUAGUGGCGCACGGGUGCGUAACGCGUGGGAACCUGCCCUUAGGUUCGGAAUAACUCCCCGAAAGGGGUGCUAAUACCGGAUAAUGUCUUCGGACCAAAGAUUUAUCGACUUUGGAUGGGCCCGCGUUGGAUUAGCUAGUUGGUAGGGUAAAAGCCUACCAAGGCGACGAUCCAUAGCUGGUCUGAGAGGAUGAUCAGCCACACUGGGACUGAGACACGGCCCAGACUCCUACGGGAGGCAGCAGUGGGGAAUAUUGGACAAUGGGCGAAAGCCUGAUCCAGCAAUGCCGCGUGAGUGAUGAAGGCCUUAGGGUUGUAAAGCUCUUCUACCCGGGAUGAUAAUGACAGUACCGGGAGAAUAAGCUCCGGCUAACUCCGUG
rnacentral:rRNA from 1 species